GAUGAACGCUAGCGGCAGGCUUAACACAUGCAAGUCGAGGGGGUAACAUAGAAAAGCUUGCUUUUCUGAUGACGACCGGCGCACGGGUGCGUAACGCGUAUACAACCUACCUUUUAGCGGGGAAUAGCCCAGGGAAACUUGGAUUAAUGCCCCAUAGUAUAUAGACUUCUCCUGAAGUUUAUAUUAAACAUUUAUGGCUAUUAGAUGGGUAUGCGUCCUAUUAGUUAGUUGGUAAGGUAACGGCUUACCAAGGCAGCGAUAGGUAGGGGUCCUGAGAGGGAGAUCCCCACACUGGUACUGAGACACGGACCAGACUCCUACGGGAGGCAGCAGUGAGGAAUAUUGGACAAUGGGCGAGAGCCUGAUCCAGCCAUGCCGCGUGCAGGAAGACUGCCCUAUGGGUUGUAAACUGUCUUUUACAGAGGAAGAACCCACCCCACGUGUGGGGGUUUGACGGUACUCUGCGAAUAAGGAUCGGCUAACUCCGUG
rnacentral:rRNA from 1 species